rnacentral:rRNA from 1 species
UACAGAGGUCCCAAGCGUUGUUCGGAUUCACUGGGCGUAAAGGGUGCGUAGGUGGUUAGGUAAGUCCGAUGUGAAAUCUCCAGGCUCAACCUGGAAAUGGCAUUGGAUACUAUUUAGCUUGAGGAGUGGAGGGGGGACUGGAAUUCCUGGUGUAGCGGUGAAAUGCGCAGAUAUCAGGAGGAACACCGGUGGCGAAGGCGGGUCUCUGGGCCGAUACUGACGCUGAGGAGCGAAAGCGUGGGGAGCGAACAGG